rnacentral:tRNA from 1 species
GCACCCUUGGCUCAACUGGAUAGAGUACCUGACUACGAAUCAGGCGGUUGCAGGGUCGAAUCCUGCAGGGUGCA